AAGUCGUAACAAGGUUUCCGUAGGUGAACCUGCGGAAGGAUCAUUAACACGUUUCUACGUUUAAUUCUCCAACACCCCCCUCUGGUAACAUGUGAUCUCGCAUAGCUAUGUAUAUAGUUAUGUUUUCUUGAUCCACCUUUUUUUUCACCCCUUUCAUUGACUCACCCUACCAACCCCAAGUGGCCUGAUACACACCUGGUCUGGAAGAAGAAAUUUUUCUCGACCGAACCAUAUGGAUUCAUCCAAAUGAGUUUUAUUCGUACAACUCUUAGCAAUGGAUAUCUUGGUUCUC
rnacentral:misc_RNA from 1 species